CACUACACUAUAUGUGCUCUCCCCACUGGAGCCAUUCUGGAUGCUUCACUCCUUCUUUAACUGAUAGAAAUUUAAGCCAGAGGAGAUGAUUGGUUUCCUUGGUGGGAUGGGAACUUCUCUGCUGGAUAGAUUUUGCUUCAUCUCUGAAAACCCUAAAGUGAACAAGUAAGUGAGGUUUUGAUUCUUUGUUUUUACUUUCUGUUAUUGAUUUUGAUGUGUUUCUUCCCUCCAGCUCUUUUCCUGUUUGGAAGGAAGACUUAUUUGUCCACUAACCUACUUCUGUUCUAUUGGUUUCCUGCUUUGAUUCAGUGAGCACGACAAUAUUGCUUCAUUAUAAAAAGGGGUCAGAUAGAAUUGCAAAAAGAGAGGGGUCGCCCCUCAUAAAUACUACUGUCAUUUCAUGGUGGCUGCAUUCACACAGCAUGAGUCAGUUCAGCAAGUUGCCCCUAGAACCUGGAUGCCUUACUAGUAUAAAAUCAUACUUUAGGGUGUACUCUUCUGACUUCAGAGCCUGAAGUGCUGUCCCAGAAAGCAAUCGGUUCUCCUCUCUGUCUCUCAUUCUCUUUCUCUCUUUCUCUCCUUCCUUUUCGCCCUCUUUUUCAAAACUAGUUUGGACCAAAUGCACAUGACAAUUAGAGUCUCCAUAGUAUCUGGAUGUUCAACCAAAUGCCUUUCAUGGCUCUUGCUAUAACCCCUGAGCCCAUUGUGCUCUGCCUUUAUUUAUCUCAUCCCUCUCUUAUACAUUUCCUUAUUCUGAUAUGGAUAAUUCCUGCCACCAGGCUCAUUUUCACCUCAUCUAUCCAACCCACUGUAAUUCAUCUUCUGACCAAUGAAUCACACACGUUAGAGUCCCCAUUCCAUCAAUCACCAUGGACCUGCAUUUUCAAGCUCUCAGAGAAAGAGUUCUCCACCUUUCUGGAACCAAAGUAAGCCAAAGCCUGGCAGGAUGGCUUCCCGGUUAGGCUCAUCUUCUUUCAGGCCCGGGAAGCACUCUGGCAAAUGUCCUAGUCCUCAUACCUGCUUCAGUAUUUCUUCAGGUCAUUAUAUCUGUAAUUAUCCCUCUCUCCCAUCCUCCAUAAACCAUUGUUCCUUUCUUCAAGGCAGCUCUACUCACAUCUCACUUGAGAUCUUGCUCUUUGUUCACUAACUUCUUUAGCUUCCUGCUGAAGAGGUACCCACACAAUGAAUUGCAUCUGGGCCCCUUCUUCUCUAUCUUGGAAGGACUGGAUUCCCUUCGACAAACCAGAUACUUUUGUGUUCCAUCCUAUUUCUUUCUGAGUUCAAGAAGACCUCAGGGACCUGGUUCCAUUACUAAAGUGUCCUAUUCCCGAUAUCUCCUCUUCUGUGGUCCUUUUGUUUCUAUUAGCUCGAAUAAACAAUGGAACAAACCAAACCAAACCAACAACAAUAAAACACAUGAGGGGAAAAA